rnacentral:rRNA from 1 species
AACGAACGCUGGCGGCAUGCCUAACACAUGCCAGUCGAACGAGACCUUCGGGCCUAUUGGCGCACGGGUGCGUAACGCGUGGGAACCUGCCCUUAGGUUCGGAAUAACUCCCCGAAAGGGGUGUUCAUACCGGAUAAUGUCUUCGGACCAAAGAUCUAUCGCGUUUGGAUGGGCCCUCGUUGGAUUCGCUAGUUGGUAGGGUAAAAGCCUACCAAGGCGACGAUCCAGGGCUGGUCGGUGAGGAUGAUCAGCCACACUGGCGCUGCGACACGGCCCAGACUCGUACGGAAGGCAGCAGUGUGGAAUAUUGGACGAGGGGCGAAAGCCUGAUCCAGCAAUGCCGCGUGAGUGAUGAAGGCCUUAGGGUUGUAAAGCUCUUUUAGCCGGGAUGAUAAUGACAGUACCGGGAGAAUAAGCUCCGGCUAACUCCGUG